CGGGAAUAUUGGACAAUGGGCGGAAGCCUGAUCCAGCAAUACCGCGUGUGUGAAGAAGGCCUGCGGGUUGUAAAGCACUUUCAGUUGGGAAGAUAAUGACGUUACCAACAGAAGAAGCACCGGCUAACUCCGUGCUAGCAGCCGCGGUAAUACGGAGGGUGCAAGCGUUAAUCGGAAUUACUGGGCGUAAAGCGUGCGUAGGCGGUUUAUUAAGUCAGAUGUGAAAUCCCCGGGCUCAACCUGGGAACUGCAUCUGAUACUGGGAGACUAGAGUGUGGGAGAGGAGAGUGGAAUUUCCGGUGUAGCGGUGAAAUGCAUAGAGAUCGGAAGGAACAUCAGUGGCGAAGGCGACUCUCUGGGCCAACACUGACGCUGAGGCACGAAAGCGUGGGUAGCAAAC
rnacentral:rRNA from 1 species